rnacentral:tRNA from 1 species
AUCCCUUUUAGCUUAAGGUAAAAAGCAUGGGUUUGAAGAGCCUGGGAUUCUUGAGGGAGAG